rnacentral:rRNA from 1 species
UACGUAGGGGGCAAGCGUUAUCCGGAUUUACUGGGUGUAAAGGGAGCGUAGACGGUUACGCAAGUCUGGAGUGAAAGGCGGGGGCCCAACCCCCGGACUGCUUUGGAAACUGUAUAACUGGAGUGCAGGAGAGGUAAGUGGAAUUCCUAGUGUAGCGGUGAAAUGCGUAGAUAUCGGGAGGAACACCAGUGGCGAAGGCGGUUUACUGGACCACAACUGACGCUGAGACACGAAAGCGUGGGGAGCAAACAGG